AUGGAAAUGACCAAGCAGAAAGGCAAACGUUGAUGUAGAAGAGGAAAAUAAGAAUUACUAAAGUAAUACCUUUGAGUAGGCAAGAAGGAAUGGAUUCUGUGAGACAUAUAAGUGGAAGAUUUGGCCUUAUGUCAGAAAAAUGGACUGUUAUCUACAAAUAACGGCAGACAUGAUCAAUCUGCUUGGGGAAUUGAAGUUGACUGCAGAGAGCCAAUAAAAAGCCCAUGGAAAGACUGGUUCCCUAAGAAGUUUCCUGACCCGUGAAAACUAAAGUCAUAGUAUUCUGAAGACUAGAGAAAUUCAACGAAGCCUGUCAAUCUCCCUUGUUUGAAAUCCCAAGGAGUAUGUUGGCAAUGAGAAACCAAUAUGGCCCAGUGGGAUUUCAAAGGCUCUGGGACCAUUGCAAAAAAGAAGGGUGCGUGAGACUCUACACAUGAAUUAGUGGAAUGUGGAGGACAAAGCAACGCCACCUAGGAUGUUAAUCCACCAUGUGGACUUCCCCUGUUCUGGGAAGGCUUCUAAGAUUUCCCCUCUCUCUAUUGUUUCUUGUGUAAAAGCAUGUACUUACUGUAAAUCCUGCCCUUAGAUCAAGACAACUUUGAUGUUAUUGUAUUUCAAUUGUCCUACAUGUCCCUUCUGAGUCACCCUUUCCCUGUGGUAUACAACCCCUGGGUCUGAGGGGUAAUGGCACUGGGAUCCACCAUCUUGUCUCACUGCCGCCUGAGAUGCAGACAGGGCUUCUGUUUUUAAGUCUCCAUUAAAUGUUUCUUUUUGAGAAACG
rnacentral:lncRNA from 1 species